rnacentral:rRNA from 1 species
UACGUAGGGCGCAAGCGUUGUCCCGGAAUUAUUGGGCGUAAAGAGCUCGUAGGCGGCUUGUCACGUCGGGGUGUGAAAGCCCGGGGCUUAACCCCGGGUCUGCAUUCGAUACGGGCUAGCUAGAGUGUGGUAGGGGAGAUCGGAAUUCCUGGUGUAGCGGUGAAAUGCGCAGAUAUCAGGAGGAACACCGGUGGCGAAGGCGGCAUCCUGGACCGACAUUGACGCUGAGGAGCGAAAGCUAGGGGAGCAAACGGG